GAUCAUUACCGAGUGCAGGUCUGCCCCCGGGCAGGCCUAACCUCCCACCCGUGAAUACCUGACCAACGUUGCUUCGGCGGUGCGCCCCCCCCCCCGGGGGUAGCCGCCGGAGACCACACCGAACCUCCUGUCUUUAGUGUUGUCUGAGCUUGAUAGCAAACCUAUUAAAACUUUCAACAAUGGAUCUCUUGGUUCCGGCAUCGAUGAAGAACGCAGCGAACUGCGAUAAGUAAUGUGAAUUGCAGAAUUCAGUGAAUCAUCGAGUCUUUGAACGCACAUUGCGCCCCCUGGCAUUCCGGGGGGCAUGCCUGUCCGAGCGUCAUUGCUGCCCUUCAAGCCCGGCUUGUGUGUUGGGUCGUCGUCCCCCCCGGGGGACGGGCCCGAAAGGCAGCGGCGGCACCGCGUCCGGUCCUCGAGCGUAUGGGGCUUUGUCACCCGCUCGAUUAGGGCCGGCCGGGCGCCAGCCGGCGUCUCCAACCUUCUAUUUUACCAGGUUGACCUCGGAUCAGGUAGGGAUACCCGCUGAACUUAAGCAUAUCA
rnacentral:misc_RNA from 1 species